UACGUAGGGGGCAAGCGUUGUCCGGAAUCAUUGGGCGUAAAGAGCGUGUAGGCGGCCCGAUAAGUCCGCUGUGAAAGUCCAGGGCUCAACCCUGGGAUGCCGGUGGAUACUGUCGGGCUCGAGUCCGGAAGAGGAGUGUGGAAUUCCGUGGUGUAGGCGGUGAAAUGCGCAGAUAGUACAGGAGGAACACCAAUGGCGAAGGGCAGCACUCUGGGACGUGACUGACGCUGAGACGCGAAAGCGUGGGAGCAAACAGG
rnacentral:rRNA from 1 species